rnacentral:misc_RNA from 1 species
GUUAUUCCUACAAUUGCGUUCAAGUAAGCACUCAAGUACUUUUGAAACGAUGAAAAUUUCAAGUCCCUUUUGCAUGUCUAAUUUAUAAUAAUUUACUUUCACAAUCAUAUUUAUGAUGUUUUCUGCUCUUAUUUGACCUCUCUAGUGUGAUUCUCCUUUUGAAAUUGUUUAUAUUUACCCAUUAAAUUAUGCUCUUAAGACUAAAUUUAAGUGCACAGAUUAAUUCAUAUUAUUCAAUUGUGCAUGUCAAAAUGAUGUCAUUCUGUUUUUACUCCUUUCUUCUCCUCUCACUCUCUUUGAUGGGGUGGCUGGUAUGGUGUGUGGCAGGCUUUUGCUGUUACAUUGUGGGCUUCAAUUUAAUUUAGUUUAGUUCACUCAGGUCUAAAUGGUUAGCAAGAAAUGUCAUAUGUAGAUUCUUCCCAUGAGGUUUUAUUGGAGGUCAUAUGUAUACUAUUACAGCUUUUAGUUGGGUCUGUUUCAAUAUUUUUAUGUAAUAUGGUGUUUUCUGCAGUGUGUCCAAUGUCUACAAGGUUGUUCAGGCAAGAAAAGGCAACAUGUUAU